AAUAGAUGAACUCAGUCUAAGAACGCCACAGCCUGUGGUAACGACUGAGUGACCAACAUCGUGUUGG
rnacentral:sRNA from 1 species